rnacentral:tmRNA from 1 species
GGGGAUGCACCGGUUUCGACGGGGUCGGAGAUACCGGGGAAGCGGGUGGAGGAUUCUCGUUGGCCUCCUUAAAAAACGGGAACUUGCAAGUAAUUGCAAACAACACUGAGCUCGUAGCAGCCUAAGGCUACCGUGCUCCUGCCGAUCUGUACGCAGGAUGCACGUACAACUCAGACCUUGCUCCUUAGAGGUUAAAGGCGAUGUCCUCUUUCCAAAGCUUUGAGGGAAGCGUGUGACAUAAAUUCAUGAAGCUACCGGAACCGACGCCUGACAGCGGGCUACGCGGGAAUGGGAAUAAUUCAUCCACUGUCUGCACCCGGAGAAGCCUGUUAGAUCUGAUUUCGGACAUGGGUUCGACUCCCAUCAUCUCCACCA